rnacentral:rRNA from 1 species
UGGGGAAUAUUGGACAAUGGGCGAAAGCCUGAUCCAGCCAUGCCGCGUGUGUGAAGAAGGUCUUCGGAUUGUAAAGCACUUUAAGUUGGGAGGAAGGGCAUUAACCUAAUACGUUAGUGUUUUGACGUUACCGACAGAAUAAGCACCGGCUAACUCUGUGCCAGCAGCCGCGGUAAUAAAGCGGGUGCAAGCGUUAAUCGGAAUUACUGGGCGUAAAGCGCGCGUAGGUGGUUUGUUAAGUUGGAUGUGAAAUCCCCGGGCUCAACCUGGGAACUGCAUUCAAAACUGACUGACUAGAGUAUGGUAGAGGGUGGUGGAAUUUCCUGUGUAGCGGUGAAAUGCGUAGAUAUAGGAAGGAACACCAGUGGCGAAGGCGACCACCUGGACUAAUACUGACACUGAGGUGCGAAAGCGUGGGGAGCAAACA